rnacentral:rRNA from 1 species
GACGACCUCUGGCGGCGCGCCUAACACAUGCAAGUCGAACGGAGCUGAGAGGAGCUUGCUUUUCUUAGCUUAGUGGCGAACGGGUGAGUAACGCGUGAGUAACCUGCCCUGGAGUGGGGGACAACAGUUGGAAACGACUGCUAAUACCGCAUAAGCCCACGGCCCGGCAUCGGGCUGCGGGAAAAGGAUUUAUUCGCUUCAGGAUGGACUCGCGUCCAAUUAGCUAGUUGGUGAGGUAACGGCCCACCAAGGCGACGAUUGGCAGCCGGACUGAGAGGUUGAACGGCCACAUUGGGACUGAGACACGGCCCAGACUCCUACGGGAGGCAGCAGUGGGGGAUAUUGCACAAUGGGGGAAACCCUGAUGCAGCGACGCCGCGUGGAGGAAGAAGGUUUUCGGAUUGUAAACUCCUGUCGUUAGGGACGAUAAUGACGGUACCUAACAAGAAAGCACCGGCUAACUACGUGCCAGCAGCCGCGGUAAAACGUAGGGUGCAAGCGUUGUCCGGAAUUACUGGGUGUAAAGGGAGCGCAGGCGGACCGGCAAGUUGGAAGUGAAAACUAUGGGCUCAACCCAUAAAUUGCUUUCAAAACUGCUGGCCUUGAGUAGUGCAGAGGUAGGUGGAAUUCCCGGUGUAGCGGUGGAAUGCGUAGAUAUCGGGAGGAACACCAGUGGCGAAGGCGACCUACUGGGCACCAACUGACGCUGAGGCUCGAAAGCAUGGGUAGCAAACAGGAUUAGAUACCCUGGUAGUCCAUGCCGUAAAACGAUGAUUAUUAGGUGUUGGAGGAUUGCCCCCUUCAGUGCCGCCAGUUAACACAAUAAGUAAUUCCACCUGGGGAGUAGGACCGCAAGGUUGAGACUCAAAGGAAUUGACGGGGGCCCGCACAAGCAGUGGAGUAUGUGGUUUAAUUCGAAGCAACGCGAAGAACCUUACCAGGUCUUGACAUCCGAUGCAUAGUGCAGAGAUGCAUGAAGUCCUUCGGGACAUCGAGACAGGUGGUGCAUGGUUGUCGUCAGCUCGUGUCGUGAGAUGUUGGGUUAAGUCCCGCAACGAGCGCAACCCUUAUUGCCAGUUACUACGCAAGAGGACUCUGGCGAGACUGCCGUUGACAAAACGGAGGAAGGUGGGGAUGACGUCAAAUCAUCAUGCCCUUUAUGACCUGGGCUACACACGUACUACAAUGGCGUUUAACAAAGAGAAGCAAGACCGCGAGGUGGAGCAAAACUCAAAUACAACGUCUCAGUUCAGAUUGCAGGCUGCAACUCGCCUGCAUGAAGUCGGAAUUGCUAGUAAUCGCGGAUCAGCAUGCCGCGGUGAAUACGUUCCCGGGCCUUGUACA